UGUCGUCAGCUCGUGUUGUGAAAUGUUGGGUUAAGUCCCGCAACGAGCGCAACCCUUAUCCUUUGUUGCCAGCGAUUCGGUCGGGAACUCAAAGGAGACUGCCAGUGAUAAACUGGAGGAAGGUGGGGAUGACGUCAAGUCAUCAUGGCCCUUACGACCAGGGCUACACACGUGCUACAAUGGCGCAUACAAAGAGAAGCGACCUCGCGAGAGCAAGCGGACCUCAUAAAGUGCGUCGUAGUCCGGAUUGGAGUCUGCAACUCGACUCCAUGAAGUCGGAAUCGCUAGUAAUCGUGGAUCAGAAUGCCACGGUGAAUACGUUCCCGGGCCUUGUACACACCGCCCGUCACACCAUGGGAGUGGGUUGCAAAAGAAGUAGGUAGCUUAACCUUCGGGAGGGCGCUUACCACUUUGUGAUUCAUGACUGGGGUGAAGUCGUAACAAGGUAACCGUAGGGGAACCUGC
rnacentral:rRNA from 2 species